GAUGGAGUGGCUCAAGUGGCAGAGCGCCUGCCUAGCAAGCAUGAGGUCCUGGGUUCAAACCCCAGUACCACCA